CCUACGGGGGUCAGCAGUGAGGAAUAUUGGUCAAUGGAUGAGAAUCUGAACCAGCCAAGUAGCGUGCAGGAUGACGGCCCUAUGGGCUGUAAACUGCUUUUAUGCGGGGAUAAAGGAGCAUACGUGUAUGUUUUUGCAGGUACCGCAUGAAUAAGGACCGGCUAAUUCCGUGCCAGCAGCCGCGGUAAUACGGAAGGUCCGGGCGUUAUCCGGAUUUAUUGGGUUUAAAGGGAGCGCAGGCUGCCGGCUAAGCGUGUUGUGAAAUGCGGGGGCCCAACCUCCGGCGUGCAGCGCGGACUGGCCGGCUUGAGUACGCACGACGUCGGCGGAAUUUGCCGUGUAGCGGUGAAAUGCUCAGAUAUGGCGAAGAACUCCGAUUGCGAAGGCAGCUGACGGGAGCGCGACUGACGCUCAUGCUCGAAAGUGCGGGUAUCGAACAGGAUUAGAUACCCGGGUAGUC
rnacentral:rRNA from 1 species